AUUGAACGCUGGCGGAAUGCUUUACACAUGCAAGUCGAACGGCAGCACGGACUUCGGUCUGGUGGCGAGUGGCGAACGGGUGAGUAACAUAUCGGAACGUAUCCAAUAAUGGGGGAUAACUAAUCGAAAGGUUGGUUAAUACCGCAUACGCCCUACGGGGGAAAGCUAGGGACCUUCGGUCCUGGCGUUAAUGGAGCGGCCGAUAUCUGAUUAGCUAGUUGGUGGGGUAAAGGCCCACCAAGGCGACGAUCAGUAGGUGGUCUGAGAGGACGACAAGCCACACUGGAACUGAGACACGGUCCAGACUCCUACGGGAGGCAGCAGUGGGGAAUUUUGGACAAUGGGCGCAAGCCUGAUCCAGCCAUUCCGCGUGAGUGAAGAAGGCCUUCGGGUUGUAAAGCUCCUUCGCAAGGGAAGAAAACUUAGCCACUAACAUUGGCUGAGGUUGACGGUACCUUGAUAAGAAGCACCGGCUAACUACGUGCCAGCAGCCGCCGUAACAC
rnacentral:rRNA from 1 species